GACGAACGCUGGCGGCGUGGAUUAGGCAUGCAAGUCGAACGGUAUAAACCUUUCGGGGUUUAGAGAGUGGCGAACGGGUGAGUAACACGUAGGUAAUCUACCCUCAAAACGGGGACAACCCAGGGAAACUUGGGCUAAUACCGGAUGCGUGCAAGCAAUGUUUUGGCUGUUAAUGCUAUUCACGGAAGUGAGUAGUGUUAAUGGUUGAGAGCAUUAUUUGCAUAAAAGGUGGCAUAUGCUGCCGUUUGAGGAUGAGCCUGCGUCCUAUUAGUUAGUUGGUGAGGUAAAGGCUUACCAAGUCAAAGACGGGAAACCGACGUGAGAGCGUGUACGGUCACAAGGGCACUGAGAGACGGGCCCUACUCCUACGGGAGGCAGCAGUGGGGAAUAUUGGACAAUGGACGAAAGUCUGAUCCAGCGACGCCGCGUGGAGGAAGAAGUCCUCGGAGUGUAACUACAUGAAGACUAACGAAUAAAGACGGAAGGGGAACGUACCGGGUACGGAAGGUAAGUUAAGUGUAAAGACCCGGCCGUAACUAACGUAGCCACG
rnacentral:rRNA from 1 species